rnacentral:rRNA from 1 species
CGGCGGACGGCUGAGUAACGCGUGGGAACAUGCCCAAAGUGAGGAUAACCUCGAGAAAUCGAGGCUAAUACCGCAUAUGGUCUUCGGAUUAAAGGAUUUAUCCGCUUUGGGAGUGGCCCGCGUACGAUUAGAUUGUUGGUAGGGUAAUGGCCUACCAAGUCGACGAUCGUUAACUGGUCUGAGAGGAUGAUCAGUCAGACUGGAACUGAGACACGGUCCAG